AGUAGUAGUAGUACCACCACAGUGUAGAAGUAGAUAGUAGUAGUUUUUUAACUGUCUCUUCAGUGUUUGCACGAGCUGCUUCUUUCUCUCCACACAGGAGUGAACGUGUUCUGUCCCUGAUGGGAAUCUGUAUCUAUGUAAAUGUUAAACGGUCAGUUGUUCCCAAGCUGAGCUUUACGAUGAUCUACAGGAAGCAAGAAAGAAGAGUGAGACUCAGCAGGUUUUACAAAACAUUUCAGCCUGAACCUGAACCGCCACACGUUGGCGUCCCGGCAGAAUCAUCGUCCGCUCAAAGAACUCGAUGGACUGAGUUGGACUGCAGGUUUACAGAAGAACCUUUUGAAGCGUCGGGUUUUUAUUUUUAAUCCCAACUCCUCAGCAGACAUCACGCUUCAUCCUGGUUCCUUCAGUUCUGCUGGGGGGUAAAGGUCACGUUAACAACCUAACUUGGAGGUUUGUUUCUAAUCUGUUUAUCUUAACGCUUCCUUGACCAAUCAGAACCCGUAUUACUGAAACAACUUUAAUAAUCAGAAGAAGUUGUAAAUAAAUAUCAUUAUUGUUUGUUCAGAUGUUUAUAUUGAUGUAUUUUUGAAUCCAUGUUCCCUCCAGCGUGGAACCUGCUGUGCUGCCUCUGACGCCCAGCAGGGGGCAGCAGGACUGUGCAGCACAGGCUGGAUCUGUCCUGCUCCUCCUGUGCGGAGACUCUCAGUCUGACCGGCCGUCUCCGCCAUCCUGAGACGCAGCGUCCGGGACACACAGCUCAGCCAGAAUCACAGCUGAGCUAGAAGCCAAACGGCAGGUGAGCAAACAAAUACAACAACAGAAAAGUAAACACCGGGGCUCUUCAUCCUCCUCCUCUCUCCCCUUGUCAGCACCUGAAGAAGCAGAAGUUCACCUACGACCCCGUCACACAGAAGAAAGGUUUCCUGGAGGCCCGAGUUCUGGAGCUCCUCAGGAACCUGCUGUCCAAAUUUCCUUCUACAGUCCCGCAGCAGCCUUUCCCUCAGACCAGGCUGUUGGGGACACGCCCUGAAGACUCGCUUCCAGCUGACACCACGAGUCCCAGCAGCACCUGUUCUGGACCAAUAAAGACCUUGUGCUGUCGGUCAUCUUCCACCUUUUAGGAAAACUUCAGCCACUUCCUGUUUCCCGCUCCAUAACCCCCAGCUUCUACCUCUCCAGAACACCGGGAGGGGACACGGCCCCCUCCCGAACCCGACGCCGCGGGACCGGCUCCGGGUACCCGGCCGCACGCGGGAUUCGAACCACCGCUGCACUGCCGCCUCGCGGUCGCCAUCGAACCCCACGCCGCCACCGAGUCCCCUUCACAGCUGAACCUUUUCUCCGGGCGCUUUUAUCUUCUCACUUUGGCUGUUGGACUUCAAAAGUCACUGAGCCUCAUAAGGAUCGAACCCACAACCUCAGAGCUUCUGAGCAGCCUUCUAACACUCUGAGCUGUUUGAUCUGAGACACUGACUCUUUCUUUCUUACAGCUUUUCACUUCUUCCUUUGGACCACCAACUUCAAAAGUCUCUGAAAGGAGUGAGGAUCGAACCCACAUCCUCUGAACACCUGUAGAGGUUUCUAACACUCUGAGCCACGGGGCCAGAGACUCUGACACUAACGUGUUGUCAGCUCUUCAGUCUUUCCUUUCAGGGUCGGACCUCAAAAUUCAUAAAGUUA